rnacentral:pre_miRNA from 1 species
CAAUAAUGAUGAUGAUGAUGAUGAUGAUGAUGAUGAUGAUGAUGAUGAUGAUGGUCAUCAUCAUCAUCAUCAUCAUCAUCAUCAUCAUCAGCAUAU